GAUGAAGAACGUAGCGAAAUGCGAUAAGUAAUGUGAAUUGCAGAAUUCAGUGAAUCAUCGAAUCUUUGAACGCACCUUGCGCCCUUUGGCCAUUCCGAAGGGCAUGCCUGUUUGAGUAUCAUGAACACCUCAACUCUUUAUGGUUUUCCAUGAUGAGCUUGGACUCUGGGGGUUUUGCUGGCUCACAGUCGGCUCCUCUAAAAUGAAUCAGCUUACCAGUGUUUGGUGGGUAUCAUGGGUGUGAUAACUAUCUACGCUUGUGGUUUUUCCACCAGGUAACCUUCAGCAGUGGAGGUUCGCUGGAGCUCAUAGAUGUCUCUCCUCAGUGAGGACAGCCCUUUGAAUGUUUGAUCUCAAAUCAGGUUGGACUACCCGCUGAACUUAAGCAUAUCAAUAAGCGGAGGA
rnacentral:misc_RNA from 1 species